UGAUAUCUUCAGGGCAGGGUUAAAUUCCCUACCGGUGGUAAAGCCCACUAGCCGCAAGGCAUGAUUCGGUGUAACUCCGAAGCCGACAGCAUAGUCUGGAUGAAAGAAGAUAAAG
rnacentral:ncRNA from 1 species